rnacentral:lncRNA from 1 species
UGAGAAUAAUUUUUAACAUUUACAUAUUAAUUGUAAAAUUUUGGAAAUAUAGAUAAAAUAUAAAAAUAAUAAAACUGAUAUGUGCAUAUUUGCCCAAGAGAUUCAAGCAUUUUCAGGAUUUGUCUUCUGUAUUUAUUUAGAUUCACCCUUUCCCCCCUCAGAAAUGAAAUGUCAGAGGCCUCUCUGAAGCUUCCACCUCCUCCCCUUUUCUCCUUCCCCAGAUGUCUCCACAGUUAGGAGGGAACUUCCUUUCUCUGGCUUCACGUUUCCUAUGGGGGAACUUCCCAUAGAGAAACACACCUUCUCCCUACUCCUUCACCUGCUCCUUUUCAGGGAAGGAGGGAUGAACAUAAUCACAGAGUUUGGAACUAGGCGUUGGGUUUGGACAGCUCAGCUCCUCUGAGUUUCUUCUCUCUUUCUGGAGCCAGUCUGCCCACUGGAAAGCAGUAAGUCUACUCUGCUCUUCCCCUUCUGGGGUGGGAGGUGCCUCAUCUUAGGGGAGAGGCCUAGGGUGGCCCAGCUCUGCCAGUGACUGUUUGGGAACAUCGAUUUAAUUGCAUUUGGUCUCGAACUGAAGGAAUGCUUUCCUUUCAGCUUAUCAGGAAUAAAGUGAUAUUUUGGUUUUCAUCUGAGUAUUAGCUGAGGUGAGAAGAAAGAGGUGUUAUUUAGUAGUCCCUCAAUUCCCCCAAAAUAUGUAUCCAGAGACUAGAAACUUUAAAAAAUAAGUAAAAGCCAGCAUUUGGGGAGACUGAGGUGUCUGUUGCAGCCUUGAUUGGGUGGCUGCAAGUCAACAAUCAACUGAGUUCAUUCUCGGUUAGAAGUUGAUAAAAUGGAAUUAUAUCUCUUAGGUGGUUCAUAUAAUACUGGGUGACGAGGUGAACAAGCCUUGUUUGAAUGGUGGAUGCUUCUGGGACAUUGAGAGUCUUGAAGACUCAAUGUAGGGAGUACGUUAGGAGAACAAAAUGCCCAGGUCACAAACAAGGAAAAGGAAAAUAGAAUAUACUCUAAUCAAUGAACAACAUCAACUUUUCAUCAAUAGAUAAGGGAAUGGGCCAAUUUAAGAAGCAGAUGAAUUCUUAGUAGCUCCACUGAGUCUUUCAGAGAGUAGGAAACCUACAGAAGGAAAUAGAAUAUUAGCGUCAUGUGUGAUUCCUGUAGAAAAAAAAUGCUGCAGAGAAAAGAAAUAUUUCUGCUACUUUGAGGUACCAUAGUAUUUAUGUGUGAAGUGCCACACUGAAGGCCUGUGGAUUUAAAAGCGGAGGAAAAGCUAGGUUCUAGAAUGGAGCUCUUUGGCAGAGGAAAUGGCCGUCUUUAGACUCUUGGGGGUUCUAGCUUCACAGGUAUAGAUAGAAGCUUUAGUCAGAAUUUCUCUGAGAGAUUCUUUGCCUGAAAUUAGAGUGAGGACAAGGGAAAACCUUCACCUGGGUGCUGGUUUUGUAGGCCUAAGUGAUUCCAGCCAAAGGACUGUAUUCCCAGAGAGUUCUCAUAUUCGAUGCAGCAUGAGGGCGACAGGAACACAGAAACCAGAGAGGAAACAGACAUCAAGAGGUUUUGAAUAAGCUGAAUGAGACAUAAGUACCUCCAGAGUGACUUGGUACAGAGAAGCCACCAAAGUUCUAAACUUUGCAAAGUACCUGUGAUGGUUAAUUUCGUGGGUCAACUUGACUGGGCUAAGGGAUGCCCAGAGAGAUGGUAAAGCAUUCCUGGGUGUAUCUGUGAGGGUGUCUCCAGAAGAGAUAAUGUUUGAAUUUGAAUCGGCUGACUGGGUAAAGAAGAUGGCCCUCCCUGAUGAGGUUGGGCAUCAUUCAAUCUGUUGAGGGCCUGAAUAGAACAAAAAGGCAGAGGAAGGGUGAAUUGGUUUUCCCUGCUUGAGCUGAGACAUCCGUCUUAUCCUGCUCUCAGACAUUGGCACUCUUGACUCUCAAGCCUUUGGACUAGAACUGAAUUACACUACCAGCUUUCCAGUUCUCCAGCAUGCAGGCAGCAGAUCAUGGGAUUUCUUGGUGUCCAUAACCACGUGAGCUAACCGCUAUAACAAAUCUCUUAUAUGUACAGUCAUGCGUUGCUUAACAACAAGGAUACAUUCUGAGAAAUGCAUCGUUAGGCAGUUUUGUUGUGCAGACAUCAUAGAGUAUACUUGCACAAACCUAGGUAGUAUAACCUGCUAUGCACACAAGCUAUGUAGUACUAAUCUUAUGGGACCACCAUUUGUAUGUGCGGUCUGUCAUUGACCAAAACAUCAUUAUGUCAUGCAUGACUCUAUCUCUAUCUCUAUCUAAUCUCUAUAUUGUAUUGGUUCUUUUUCUCUGGACAACUCUGAUUAAUACAGCACUGUAAUUGCUCAAAGGCUGCUCUCUCAGAGAGACAUCAGUGUGCACACACAGGUUUCUUCACCACCCCACCAUGAAGACAGCAUGAAAAGAUACUCAAAUUCAAUUUUAACUAGUUUUAAAUUCACACAUCAUUGAUCUUCAAAAACUGGAAUUGAUUGGCAUCCUUGAGGAUGAAAAGCAAGGUUUCUUUUCCUCCAUCUACCCUCCUUCCUUCGGAUCCUCCUGAGUUACUGCUUGGUAUUUGGAAACAUGUUAUAGUUGUAGGUUAAUUAUGGGGUUCUGGAAACCUAAUUUUCCUUGGGGAAACUGUUCAAGGGGCUUAUUUUUGGCUUGUUUUCUAUAUUUUGUAAAUGUGGAGCUGAGAAAAGUUGGAAUGCUGCUAAAUCCCCGACGUUACACAGAAUCUGAGGGAGACAUCUCUGGGGUGAGGAAGAUUGGUGCUGAGCCAACAUCUACUGCCAAUCUUACUCUUUUUGCUUGAGGAAGAUUGUCAUGAGCCAAUAUCCAUGCCAAUCUUCCUCUAUGUUGCAUGUGGGACACUUGCCAUAGCAUAGCUUAAUGAGAAGAGUGUCUGUCCACGCCCAGAUCCGAACCCGCAAACCCUGGGCUACUGAAGCGAAGCACACAAAUUUAACCACUACGCCACUAGACCAGCCCCAAAGGGGUUUAACUUUUUAAAUUUUUCCUUGGGAAUUUGAUAGUGAAAGAAGGUUUACAUCAAACACUGCAGCAUAAUUCUACUGUUGAUAAUGUAGAAUUAAAAAAUUUUCUCUCAUCAUUUGAAUUUAUUAUGUACCAUUUUGGGAGCUAUAUUGGACAACAUGGCCUAACAUAAUAAAAAAUGAGAAGCCAAAGAGAAAUUGAAAAAUUUUAAAUGAAUUUUUAUAUUAAAACCACUUUUUAAUUCCUUAUUGGAAGAUCUGAGAAUUUCCCUAUGGAUUAAGCAAUUGCAGGCUUGCCAUCCAGGCCUUCAAAUUUGUACCAAAUGGUAAGGGAGCUCCUAGAAGCUGCAUUUUCUCCAGUUCUCAUCCUCACUGUGGCUUUGGAAGACAACGGACCAAGGAAAUCUUCCUGGAGAAUAGAACUGCGAAUAAAUGAACUGUCUGACCAAGGAGCACGUGUCACCGUUUGGACCAAGCUCCCGUGAUAUUCUUAUGCGGUGUUCAUUGGAGGAGAGUUUGACUUGACUUCCUUUUGGGAAAAGCUGAGUGCACAUCAUGGAGCUGUGAUCCUUGGUGGAAGUGUGUAUCAGAAGAAAAAUGUACUUGCAUGAGGAAUAGCCAGAGGAGUGAACUGCACCACAAACUUGUUGUUUCUGCGUUCCUCUCCCAACAAUCUAUGACUUCUGUUUGGGUAUCCCGGUAGUUCUGAGGAACAGACUCCACCCCCUUCUCCAGCUCCGGUUCUGGGCUGUCAUCCCCCACUCCCACGGCAGUGAUCCAUUCAGUGCGGACACGUGACCUAACGUGGUUCAGUCAGAUUGAUUCUCAGUAGUUCUGAAACUUCAGACAAAAACACUGUUCUUCCCAACUAUGGGGUAGUAUGUGGAUGCAAGCCCUGUUCUCGAUGUAGACAUUUUUGUUAACAGCAGGGAAUCAGCCUGAGGAUGAAGCCAAAACGCCACAGACAGCAGAGCCAAGAAUUUGGGCUGCAGGCUCCGUGACAUCAUAAACUGCUGCUCUAAUCUUGUCUGAACUUUGCCCUGACUCUGUCCUUUUUGGAUACGUAAGCCUAUAAAUUUUGUUUAGUUUUAAGGAAGGUGGUUAAGUUUUAAUUGUAUUAAUUGAAAAGCUCAUGACACAUUAUCAUUGUAUGCAUCAUGUUUUCUUAUGCAAAUAUAUGCAUAGAAUGAAUUCCUGGCAGUAGAAUUUCCAAGCAUAAAUUGCCCAAUUAAAACAGACACACACAAAAAUAAGGUUAGAAACUGACAUGAAAUAGUGUAUAUUAGGUGGAAACAUGUCUCUUAUGUCAAUAUUUGUAAAUGUAAAAAACACAUUAAUAGGAAGAUUCUUAGAUUAAGUCACAAAACAAAACCCAGUAACAUUUUAUAUAUGACACAGUUAAGCCAAAUGAUUGUGUGAAAAAUAUGUGUUCUUGGUGAGAGUGACUACUAGCUUAGUUAUGAUUGGUAGUUUAAUUGGAGGUACAACUAGCCUUGCUGCUUAGAUACUAAAUCUCAAAAAGGAGCCCUUCAAAUAUUACUUGAAUACAUCUAGGCCUUCUUGUUCUCCUUGGUGGAGCAAAGAAUGCAUAUAACAGUCUCACCAUCUGAGCAUUGAGAACAAUGCAAAUCUUUAAGUCUCUUAAAAUGUCAGCAAAAUGGUGGGGGAGGGAGGGCAUGAUUUCAUCAGAGCACACGGAAUGAAACUUUCUCAAGGCAGUUUCUUACCAGAAUCUUAUUUACCCAUGGCAGCCCUUUCUCCACUGUUUCUUCCCUCUUCUUCACACUGUCUAGCCUCCUCUAGCAACUUUUCUGUUUUCUUGGAAAAAUUUCAUGAACUUUUUUGUUUUUUGUUUUUUUUGGUGAAGAAGAUUGGCCCUGAGCUAAUGCCUGUUGCCAAUUUUCCUCUUUUUUACUUGAGGAAGAUUGGCCCUGAGGUAACAUCUGUGCCAGCCUUCCUCUAUUUUGUAUGUGGGUUGCCACCCCAACAUGGCUUGAUGAGUGGUGUAGGGCCGUGCCUGAGAUCCGAACCCAUGAAUCCAGGCUGCCAAAGCAGAGUAUGCCAAACUUAACCACUAUACCACCAGCCCAGCUCCACUUUUUUUUUUAAUAGAAAGAGAAAUAAAUUUUCCUAUUUAUAAAAUAUAAGAAGGAAAAGGGCCCUGGGUAUAAAAUCUAAAUGUCUAGGAUGUGAAUGGUCGGGAACACAUAAUAUGACUCUGCUUCCGUCAGUCAUGAGUGUGAGGUGCAAGGAAAAUAGGGCCUGAGAGCUCUUUCUGUACCAGACAGAAAACCUCACAAGAGUAAGAGCCACAGAGCCUCUGUGAAGAAGAUGGAUCAGAGAGAAGUGAAUGGUGUAGAGCAGAAAUUUAACUCUCUCUCUCAAUUUCUUUUCUUCGUAAGCCUACCCCUAAGACUCUGGCCUAGUUGGUGGUCCUCCCAAAAGGAUUAGCUCAUAGUAGAAAUGUGUGCACGUGGGACGGGAGAUAGAGGGAGGGACUCCAGCAGAGGAAAUGUUUACGAAUGCACACACUCUAAGAUCACCUGUCUGCCACAGAGCCAUAGGUUUCCUCUCAUAGUUGUUAACCAAUGUGUAAGUACAAUUUUGUAUGCUAGUUUUUCCCUUAAAGUGAUGGCAUAAAGAUUUUACCAUGGCUGUAUCAACUCUUCAUCAAUACUGUCUCUAACUUUAAUAUCAGUGCAAUAUUUCUUUGGGUCUAGAAUAUCUUAAUCUAAUUAGAUAGUCUUCAUUUUUGUGCAUUUGUAUCAAACUUUCUUUAUGUGAUAAAUAAUGUGCUCCCCCCUUUGCAUUGAGAAACACAAAAAUGACUUGUUUACUGUCACAGAGACCUUUGUUUCUCCAAUUCAGAUAGGUAAAUUGUCUAAAUUCUGUACUCUGGGCCCUAGAAAUGAAGGAUAGAAAAUGAGGAGAGGAAAAGAAACCAAGCCGUUCUUGAGGAAAGAAAUGGGAAAAGGAGUUAUAAGGAGGCGAUAAAAUUGUUUCUUCUCCAGGACAAACAAGUGAAAAAAUUGGGCUCCCCUCCCACCAGGAAUUCUGGCUCCCACUUAUGGAUCCUGAGACUGGCAGAUUUUUCCAGGCUGUGGAAAACUGAUACUCAGCUGAGGAAUCACAUCACAGGCUGUAACACUUAAUGUUAUUAUUUUUCACUUGAUUGUGCAAAAGAAGUGUGUUAAUAUGACUUCUAGGACUGAUACCAAGUAAGUACACUGCCU